UACGUAGGGGGCAAGCGUUGUCCGGAAUUAUUGGGCGUAAAGCGCGUGUAGGCGGUUCGGUAAGUCGGUUGUGAAAGUCCAGGGCUCAACCCUGGGAUGCCGACCGAUACUGUCGGACUAGAGUUCGGAAGAGGCGAGUGGAAUUCCCGGUGUAGCGGUGAAAUGCGCAGAUAUCGGGAGGAACACCAAUGGCGAAGGCAGCUCGCUGGGACGUUACUGACGCUGAGACGCGAAAGCGUGGGGAGCGAACGGG
rnacentral:rRNA from 1 species